rnacentral:rRNA from 1 species
CUUGACCUACGGGGGGCAGCAGUGAGGAAUAUUGGUCAAUGGGCGGGAGCCUGAACCAGCCAAGUCGCGUGAGGGAUGACGGCCCUAUGGGAUGUAAACCUCUUUUGCCGGGGAGCAAAGUGCCGCACGUGUGCGGUUUGGAGAGUACCCGGAGAAAAAGCAUCGGCUAACUCCGUGCCAGCAGCCGCGGUAAUACGGAGGAUGCGAGCGUUAUCCGGAUUUAUUGGGUUUAAAGGGUGCGUAGGCGGACGCUUAAGUCAGCGGAACAAUUGCGGGGCUCAACCUCGUCCAGCCGUUGAAACUUG